GAGAGUGCGUUUCCCUUGCAGGAGAAAGCAGUGGUCAGUUUAGUUGCUGCCACUGUCUUGUGUUGGUGGCUAGCACGGUACGGUGUCUCGUUUUGGUUCCCCUGUGCUCCUUCUUGCAGCUGCUCGGGUACUGCAGUAAUAAAGCAAGUACGGGCUCUGCAAUGAGCCGUGCCCUCUGCUCCGGGCGGCAUGUGUCAGCAAAGUGGCUUGUCCACCUGUGUGGCUAUUGCAUCUCCCUAAAUGACAUAGCCUAAGCAGAUAAAAGCAGGUUUUCUGCCUGUGCCGCUCGCAGCUGUGUCCGUGCCAGUUUUUGCUGGUGUACUGGCUGGGGGGAGGAGGUUUUGAUUCGGGUCCCCAGUAGUAUAGCGAUGGCAGCAGGACUUUGUAGUGGAGACCAAGCCAUAGUGACUAGUCUGUUGCAUUUGUGGCUUCACAGCUGCUUCUUGAGGAAGAAAGAUCAUGUCAGUGUUUGAGCGGCAGAGCCGUGUGUGUCAUAGGUGUCAGCAGCUCACGAGCUUUAACACUUUUCUUCUCGGUACCCUGGGGUGGCAGGUUCUCCCCAUUGUACAGAUAGAGAAAUGAAGCAACCUGCUCAGUCACCAGGGCGAUCCCCACUGGCUGAACCUGCAUCUGUGGAAACUGGCUAGUGUCCUAACCCCUGCACCAUUCAUCUUCACCUCCUGGCUGCAUUAUAAUAUGCUGUAUCUACAGGGAGACUUACCUGAUAUAAGUCAUGUUUAAAGAUAUUCCCAGUGCUGAACAGGUGCUGAAAUCUGCCAAAUAACAGACUGUACCUAAGAAACCUGAUGACGGUGAUGUAGAGUGACAAAUAGUUACAACUUGCUGUGUUUGCCACCAGCACACCAUUCUGUCUGGUCUUACCUGAUUGAGAUGGCAGAUUCCUGGGGAGGUGGAGUCGUCACUACAGUGUGUCUGUACAGUGUUGGGUGUAGUGGGGCCUUGGACUUGAUCGGUGUUCUCAGAUGGUACUGCAACACUUGUGAUCAAAGAGCACUACAGAUUUGCACAUACCCUUUGUGGGUUUUUCUUCUCUGAAAGAGUAGUCUCAAGCACUUCUGCGGACAGGAAAGGAAGCUACAAAAGCCACACUCCUUCACCCCCC
rnacentral:lncRNA from 1 species